GGGCGAAUGGUUUAGUGGUAUAAUACUCCCUUAGCAUCGUAUAUCAGCCUGGGAGUGGUCCAGGGUUCGAUUCCCUGUUCGUCCA